AAGUCGUAACAAGGUUAUCGUAGGUGAACCUGCGAUAGGAUCAUUAAUGUGUUUGGACUUUUGUCCUUCAUCCGGACGCUGUGCGCCUUUCGGGGCUGCACGCUGAAGGAGCAUAUAUCCACACCUGUGCACAUACACGGUGGUGGGGCUUGAUUGCCUCGCCGCUGCUUCACACACGUCUUAAAAGUCUUGUAUGUUUUAUAUCAUAUUAUACACAACUUUCAUCAACGGAUCUCUUGGCUCUCGCAUCGAUGAAGAACGCACCGAAAUGCGAUAAGUAAUGUGAAUUGCAGAAUUCAGUGAAUCAUCAAAUCUUUGAACGCACCUUGCGCCACGUGGUAUUCCACGGGGCACGCCUGUUUGAGUGUCACGUUAACCAUCGCGUCUCGAAUGUAACAGUUUGCGGGGCGGAUUUGGGUGUUGCCGUAGUUGGCUCGCCUCGAAAUGCAUUACCUGUCCAAGGACCGCGCCGUUGGUGUGAUAAUUACUUUGCGCCGCUGGUGUUGGACUGGGUGAUGGCUCAUAAACCGUCCGCAAGGACAAUAAAUCUUAAUGCCUUGGCCUCAAAUCGAGUGGGACUACCCGCUGAACUUAA
rnacentral:rRNA from 1 species